rnacentral:misc_RNA from 1 species
GAUGAAGAACGCAGUGAAAUGCGAUAAGUAAUGUGAAUUGCAGAAUUCAGUGAAUCAUCGAAUCUUUGAACGCACAUUGCGCCCGCUAGUAUUCUGGCGGGCAUGCCUGUCCGAGCGUCAUUUCAACCCUCAAGCCCCCGGGCUUGGUGUUGGGGAUCGGCGAGCCUCCGCGCCCGCCGUCCCCUAAAUCUAGUGGCGGUCUCGCUGUAGCUUCCUCUGCGUAGUAGCACACCUCGCACUGGGAAACAGCGCGGCCACGCCGUUAAACCCCCAACUUCUGAACGUUUGACCUCGGAUCAGGUAGGAAUACCCGCUGAACUUAAGCAUAUCAAUAGGCGGAGGA